CAGAUGUUGCUUCCAAAGUCCUCCGUCCUUCAGCUCCAAAUUGGACGACGAUGCUCAACAUCUGCUGACCCGUCAUCUAGAAGACCACCCUCCUGCCAAUUUUAGAUGGAAUUUUGAUCGAAUUUUUUGGAAUACUUCUGUAACUUUUGAGAAAAGAAACUUUCUUCAGUGUCCAGCUGCAGCCUCCUGUGAGCACCUGACCCUUGUUUGAGAACGCUGGAGUCUGUUGCUAUGGAAAUGUACUCAAGUCAGACUGCAACAGGAGGACCUCUGGCUGUUGUUUGAAUACUUGAAGACCCUCCCACAAGAACUUCUACUAUACAUUUGAGAGGGAGAGGUCUCAAGACACGCAUGGAGAAGCUAAUCCUAACAGCAAUAAUAUGACAACAUCUGGACUUCUUACACAGUGCUCUGUGCUUUCCCAUGCACUGCCUUUCUCAACCCUCUUUUCCCUUGAUUUUCUAAUAGUUGCAUCUUUAUCAAUUUUUUAAUAUGUGAAGCCAAGAAUUCUUCUCCCAUUAAAAACCAGUUUUCUGGGCUUCCCUGGUGGUGCAGUGGUUGAGAAUCCGCCUGCCAGUGCAGGGGAUACGGGUUCGAUCCCUGGUCCGGGAAGAUCCCGCA